AUGUUUCCUAGGCUUGUCUUGAACUCCCAGGCUCAAGUGAUUCUCCUGCCUCAGCCUCCGAAGGUGCUGGAUUACAGGCAUGAGCCACCUCGCCUGGCCAGUUUUCCCUUAACAAAGACUGGAAGGCUGAGCUGGGAAAAAAGCGCUGCCAUGCCAGUCUUGGCCGGACUCACCGCCCACCUCUGGGACCUUGGCGGUGGGGCGGGAGGGAGGGGGGACCUCAGAGGCUCAGCGAGCGAGUCGGCCCCAGCCCAGCCGCCAGCGUCAGCCUCCUCCUCCUCCUCCGCGGCACCCGGGCCCUUAUCAGGAAAGGAUUUGGGUUGGUGGGGAGGGGUGGGGGGAAGUCGGAGGCCCCAGGCUCGGCAAGGUGGGCCGGAGAGAUAGGGAAGUGGGGAGGGGGCUGCGGGGCGGCUCUGCCGGCCGGGGGAGGGCCGUGGGAGGGAUGCCUAGAAUGGGCACGGUGGGGGCUUUGACCAAGCUCUGUCCUUGCCGGCUUGGCCCUCGACACGGUUCCCGGACUUCUGCCUCCCAUCCUUGCCAGGCAAGUUGCCUGCACCUUUAAUUAGCGAGCAGCAGCCUCUCCCGAUUCAUCACCGGUCGCUGUUUAAUUAG